rnacentral:rRNA from 1 species
GACGAACGCUGGCGGCGGGCCGAAGACAGGCAAGGAGAACGCGGAAGAGAGGAGCGGGCGCGGCGGGGAGGAGGGGCGAACGGGGGAGGAACGCGGAGGGAACCGGCCGGGGAGCGGGGGAGAACGAGGGGAAACGAGAGCGAAUACCGCAUAAAAUGGAUUAUCGCAUGAUAAUCCAUUGAAAGGUGCAACUGCAUCACUACCAGAUGGACCUGCGUUGUAUUAGCUAGUUGGUGGGGUAACGGCUCACCAAGGCGACGAUACAUAGCCGACCUGCGAGGGUGCUCGGCCACACUGGGACUGAGACACGGCCCAGACUCCUACGGGAGGCAGCAGUAGGGAAUCUUCGGCAAUGGACGGAAGUCUGACCGAGCAACGCCGCGUGAGUGAAGAAGGUUUUCGGCUCGUCACGCUCUGUUGUCCGCGAAGCACGAGUGUGAGAGUGGAAAGUUCACACUGUGACGGUAUCUUACCAGAAAGGGACGGCUAACUACGUG